rnacentral:lncRNA from 10 species
CACAUUUGAAGUAACACUGCUGUAAGAAAAUGUUAUGUUUCUUAAGAAAAUAAAACCAAGAACUUUAAGGUCGUCCUUGGAAGGAGAGGCUCUUGUAGAGAAGGAAGAGACAUCAUUCUGACCCUGAAGUUUUAUCACUUUCCAAGGUAGGAAAAUGCCAUAUCGUAUAGGGCAUUGCAUACUAUACAUUCCCUGGGGAGCAUUUUGAAAAUGUGGGGGCACUUUUGUCUUCUAGCAUGAUCAUACUUGAGCAUUUACUUAUGAAAGACCAUUAUCAUCAACUAUUUUCCUUUUAUUUUUUCUUUUAUAAUAUAGUUUAAUACUUAUAUUGAUUUCUUCUUAUGUGCAGAUAGGUUAUAUUAUUUUUGAAUUUUAUUUUAGUAUAGCAAAGGGAUGAUCACAAAAUAUUCGUUCUAAGAAGGUGUUGUUCGUGUAGCAGGGGUGGGAAUUACUCAUUUAGGGGUUUCUUGCUUAUUUCUACUGUCACCCUUGGUGUCAGAAGCGGGAUCCGAAGUGGAACUUCUAGCAGCCCCCCAGGACCACUGCAUGACCCACUUGUGUCCAUUGAUCUCUCAGAGCAGUUGGGGAUCCUGGGUAAGCUCCCUCUUGGAUUUCUGAGCUCCACGGAUUUGUGUUUUCAUCUCUCCAAGUUUCUUUGAGCAAAUUUCUAAUCCAAACUGGGUUUGGAGUAGUUACAGAAACUGGAUUGGGUCCAGGAACAGAUUUGAUCUGGGAAUUAACUGGCUUAGAUCCAAUCAGAGGCCUCUUACAUCUGACUGGGUCAAAAAGGACUUGGUAGUAAGCAGUAAUAUUGCAGGGGUUACAAAAUU